CACGUAGGGGCCAAGCGGUUGUCCGGAUUUAUUGGGCGUAAAGAGCUCGUAGGCGGUCGACAAGUCGGGCGUGAAAACUCCGGGCUCAACCCGGGAGACGCCACCCGAUACUGUCGUGACUGGAGUCCGGUAGGGGAGUGGGGAAUUCCUGGUGUAGCGGUGAAAUGCGCAGAUAUCAGGAGGAACACCGGUGGCGAAGGCGGUUCUCUGGGCCUUACCUGACGCUGAGGAGCGAAAGCGUGGGGAGCAAACAGG
rnacentral:rRNA from 1 species